rnacentral:rRNA from 1 species
GUGUCAGCAGCCGCGGUAAGACGUACCGUGCGAACGUUAUUCGGAAUCACUGGGCUUAAAGGGCGCGUAGGCGGUCCGGCGCGUCCGGGGUGAAAGCCUCCAGCUUAACUGGAGAAGUGCCCCGGAUACGGCCGGACUCGAGUGGGGUAGGGGCGUGUGGAACUUCCGGUGGAGCGGUGAAAUGCGUAGAUAUCGGAAGGAACGCCGGUGGCGAAAGCGGCACGCUGGACCCCUUCUGACGCUGAGGCGCGAAAGCCAGGGGAGCGAACGGGAUUAGAUACCCCGGUAGUCC